GACGAACGCUGGCGGCGUGCCUAAUACAUGCAAGUCGAACGCAUUUUCCUUGAUUGUGGGUUGCUACAGCGUAAGAAAAUGAGUGGCGACCGGUGGAGUAACACGUGGGUAACCUGCGCAUAAGUGGGGAAUAAGACUUGGAUACAGGUUCUAAUCUCGCACAAUUCGAUGUGCGGUAGGGUAAAUGGGUGAUAGGCGAUUUUGUGUCGCUGAUGGAGGGCGUCGCUGUGGAUGUGCUAGGUGGUGGGGUGAAGGCGUAGCAGGGCUGCGAGGCGUAGCAGACCUGAGAGGAUGAGCGGCCACACUGGGACGGAGACACGGCCCAGACGCCUACGGGAGGCAGCAGUAGUGAAUCUUCGGCAAUGGACGCAAGUCUGACCGAGCAACGCCGCGUGAGUGAAGAAGGUUUUCGGGUCGUGAAACUCUGUUGUUAGAGAGGAACAAGGAUGCGAGUGGAAAGUUCAGCCCUUGACGGUAUCUAGCCAAAAAGCCACGGCUAACUACGUG
rnacentral:rRNA from 1 species